UACGGGGGGGGGCAAGCGUUGUUCGGAAUUACUGGGCGUAAAGGGCGCGUAGGCGGCCUUCUAAGUCGAACGUGAAAUCCCCGGGCUCAACCCGGGAACUGCGUCCGAUACUGGAAGGCUUGAAUCCGGGAGAGGGAUGCGGAAUUCCAGGUGUAGCGGUGAAAUGCGUAGAUAUCGAGAGGAACACCUGCGGCGAAGGCGGGUUGCUGGGCUGACACUGACGCUGAUGCGCGAAAGCCAGGGGAGCGAACGGG
rnacentral:rRNA from 1 species